UGAGACAGGUUGGAAUUACCCCAGCAUGCAUGGCCACCUUUUCAGAGGUUGAGUGAUACACUGCUAAAACUUCAUCAGCAUCCUCAGAGGUCAGAAGUUGGGCCACAGCAUGACUGGGUCCUCCGCUCAAGGUCUCAUCAGGCUGAAAUCAAGGUGUGGGCCAGGCCUUCUCAUCUGGAGCUGAUACUCUUCUUCCAAGCACAUUCAGGACAGAAGUUUGGGCUAGGCUCAGCUGGACAGUUCUUCUGCUGCUUGUAUGUGAAGUCAUUCACGCAACUACAGCACCAGUAUCCUGAGGCUCAAGUGGAACUGCGUGAUCUAAGAGGGCCUCAUUCACAUGCCUGGCAAUUGGUGCUGGCUGUUGACUGGAGCAGCUCAAACUUCACCUGUUGGCUUCUGCUGUCUCAGAGCAGUAGGAGAGUGAGAGUAAAGCUUCAUCUGGAGUCCCAGACUUAGCGGUUGUAUGGCAUUACUUCCAUUGCAUUUGACUAGUAAAAGCAAGUCACAUGGCCAGACCACAUUCAAGAGGAGGUGGAAAUAACCUCUAGUUCUUGAUGGAAGAAACAACAUUGAUAAUAUUAAAUGCUAGU